AGCUUCUCCAGCGGCUUGGUCAUCUCGGGCCUCUCUGCAGCUGAGGGGGGAACACCAGCGAUACGCAGUCCUCAAGUUCUGUCAACAUCGUCCUGGGCCCGUCCUGUCGCUCAAGUUGUGCAGUGCAGCAGUGGACAUCAGAGGCGUAUGAGAGCAUAGAUGCCACCUCCACCAUUGCCACAGGACCCAAGGUCCACAGCACAGAAAAGAGCCAAGACGACUCUACUUCAGCCUUCCAUGAGGCUCCGAAGGAGAAGACCACAUGAGACCACAACAGCCCAGAUCCACGUUUGCCGAGCUGUGAAAAUGAGCGCUCCUCGUUUCAAGUCGCAAAACAGACAUUUGGACUCGGAGGCAGAGAAAAGUUUCCCUGAUGGUCGCGCCACCUCAUCGAGCAGGUCUCGGCGAUCACAGUUAUUUUAUAUAGAUCUAUUGUAACUCUCAAAAACAAGGCAUAGUGUUCACUACACUUUUGUUUAAUAAAAUACAUUUCUUUAAUGUGUAAGACA
ensembl:lncRNA